GUGACUCCUUCGAGCCUUCCAGAAAGCAUGUGAGAAGGAAGCCCUACUCUACUACCAAGGUGACUUCAGGGAGCACAUUCAAGGGUACGUAUUCUGGAAUCACUCACUGGCUGUUAGAAAAAGAUUCUAUAGGAAAUCUGGAGCCUAACUGCUGGCUUUUGUCUGGAGAGCCUCCAUGAUCCAGGACACCUGGUGGGAAUGAGGAUGUGGAGUAUAGUAAAAGAAACUGGUUUUCCAGGUGACAAGCUCUUUUUAUCUAUGUAUAGUUCCUGGGAACAUGUUCACAUUAGGUGGUGUUCACAUUAGGUUGUGUGUGGGUAUGUGUGUAUUAGGGCAGGGGUGGGGUGAGGUGGUCUGUGUGCAAGUCUUCAUGAUUUGUUUGUGAAUGUGUGUCUAUGUGUGUUUCCCCUAGAAAAAAAUGUUGUGUUUACCCAGCACAACUCUCAGUGCCAUU
rnacentral:lncRNA from 1 species